CCAGACUCCUACGGGAGGCAGCAGUGAGGAAUAUUGGUCAAUGGGCGGAAGCCUGAACCAGCCAAGCCGCGUGAGGGAGGAAGGUACAGAGUAUCGUAAACCUCUUUUGUCAGGGAACAAAGACUGGGACGCGUCCCCGGAUGAGUGUACCUGAAGAAAAAGCAUCGGCUAACUCCGUGCCAGCAGCCGCGGUAAUACGGAGGAUGCGAGCGUUAUCCGGAUUUAUUGGGUUUAAAGGGUGCGUAGGCGGACUGGAAAGUCAGCGGUAAAAUCGAGAGGCUCAACCUCUGUCCGCCGUUGAAACUGUCGGUCUUGAGUGGGCGAGAAGUAUGCGGAAUGCGUGGUGUAGCGGUGAAAUGCAUAGAUAUCACGCAGAACUCCGAUUGCGAAGGCAGCAUGCCGGCUCCACACUGACGCUGAGGCACGAAAGCGUGGGUAUCGAACAGGAUUAGAUACCCCAGUAAA
rnacentral:rRNA from 1 species